CCGACGGUGAGGGAUGAAAGCUAGGGGAGCAAAGAGGAUUAGAUGCCCUCGUAGUCCUAGCUGUAAACAUUGCGUGUUUGAUGUCGGCUAACCUCCGUGGUUAGCCGGUGCCGAAGUGAAAACGUUAAACACGCCGCCUGGGUAGUACGGUCGCAAGGCUGAAACUUAAAGGAAUUGACGGGGGAGCACCACAACCGGUGGGGGCUGCGGUUUAAUUAGAUCAAACGCAGCACACCCUACCAGAGCCGACAGCAGAAUGACGGUCAGCUUGAAGAGCUUACCUGACGCGCUGAGAGGAGCUGCAUGGCCGCCGUCAGCUCGUGCCGUGAGGUGUCCGGUUAAGUCCGGUAACGAGCGAGACCCGCAUCUCAUGUUGCGAUAGAUCCUUUCGAGGAUUUAGCACUCGUGAGAGACCGCUGGUGAUAAACCAGAGGAAGGAGCGGGCCACGGUAGGUCAGUAUGGCCCGAAUGCUCUGGGAUACACGCGGCCCACAAUGGCUGGAACAAAGGGAUGCCACUCCGAAAGGAGGAGCUAACCCCCUAAAUCCAGUCCUAGUACGGAUUGAGGACUGCAACUCGUUCUCAUGAAGGCGAAAUCGGUAGUAGUCGCUGGUCAUUAUCUAGCGGCGAAUAAGUCCCUGCUCCUUGCACUCACCGCCCGU
rnacentral:rRNA from 1 species